rnacentral:misc_RNA from 1 species
GAACUGGUGGUGGAAGACGUCGUAGCUCAAAUUCGAGGGGAGAUAUUUGGCUAACGUUCCUUGGACCAGAUAUGAUAGGAAAGCGGAAAAUUUCCUUAGCACUUGCUGAAUUGAUGUUUGGAAGCAGAGAGAACCUAAUCUCAGUUGAUUUUGGUUCACAGGACAGUGAUCGGCGGCCAAACUCACUCUUCGACUGCCAAGUUUUAAAUGGUUACGAUGAAAGGUUCCGAGGACAGACUGUUGUUGAUUAUGUCGCUGGGGAGUUGAGGAAGAAACCAUCCUCAGUUGUCCUUUUAGAGAACAUACACAAGGCCGACGUUCGGGCUAAGAGUUGCUUGUCCCAGGCAAUUACGACUGGCAAGUUUCCAGAUUCACAUGGGAGACAGUUUACCAUCAAUAAUACAAUCUUCGUGACAACGUUGACGAACAAAAUGGUCGACAAAACUUCGAAUCUAGAUGGUGACGAACAGACCGAAUUUUCCGAGGAGAGAGUACUUACAGCCAGAAAUUGUCAAAUGCAG